AGUAAAUAGAUACCCCGGUAGUCCACGCCGUAAACGAUGAGUACUAGGUGUAGGAGGUAUCGACUCCUUCUGUGCCGCAGUUAAACACAAUAAGUACUCCGCCUGGGAAGUACGGUCGCAAGAUUAAAACUCAAAGGAAUUGACGGGGGCCCGCACAAGCAGCGGAGCAUGUGGUUUAAAUUCGAAGCAACGCGAAGAACCUUACCUAGACUUGACAUCUCCUGAAUAGUGUAGAGAUACAUGAAGCCCUUCGGGGCAGGAAGACAGGUGUGCAUGGUUGUCGUCAGCUCGUGUCGUGAG
rnacentral:rRNA from 1 species